rnacentral:rRNA from 1 species
UACGAAGGGGGCUAGCGUUGUUCGGAAUUACUGGGCGUAAAGCGCGCGCAGGCGGUCUUCCAAGUCAGUGGUGAAAGCCCGGAGCUCAACUCCGGAACUGCCAUUGAAACUGUAAGACUUGAGGAUGAGAGAGGUGAGUGGAAUUCCCAGUGUAGAGGUGAAAUUCGUAGAUAUCUGGAGGAACACCGGUGGCGAAGGCGGCAUCCUGGACCGGCAUUGACGCUGAGGCGCGAAAGCCAGGGGAGCAAACGGG